rnacentral:rRNA from 1 species
AUCAUUACCGAGUUUACAACUCCCAAACCCCUGUGAACAUACCACUUGUUGCCUCGGCGGAUCAGCCCGCUCCCGGUAAAACGGGACGGCCCGCCAGAGGACCCCUAAAACUCUGUUUCUAUAUGUAACUUCUGAGUAAAACCAUAAAUAAAUCAAAACUUUCAACAACGGAUCUCUUGGUUCUGGCAUCGAUGAAGAACGCAGCAAAAUGCGAUAAGUAAUGUGAAUUGCAGAAUUCAGUGAAUCAUCGAAUCUUUGAACGCACAUUGCGCCCGCCAGUAUUCUGGCGGGCAUGCCUGUUCGAGCGUCAUUUCAACCCUCAAGCACAGCUUGGUGUUGGGACUCGCGUUAAUUCGCGUUCCUCAAAUUGAUUGGCGGUCACGUCGAGCUUCCAUAGCGUAGUAGUAAAACCCUCGUUACUGGUAAUCGUCGCGGCCACGCCGUUAAACCCCAACUUCUGAAUGUUGACCUCGGAUCAGGUAGGAAUACCCGCUGAACUUAAGCAUAUCAAA